CAGUCCCGCGGUAAUACAGAGGGUGCGAGCGUUAAUCGGAUUUACUGGGCGUAAAGCGUGCGUAGGCGGCUUUUUAAGUCGGAUGUGAAAUCCCUGAGCUUAACUUAGGAAUUGCAUUCGAUACUGGGAAGCUAGAGUAUGGGAGAGGAUGGUAGAAUUCCAGGUGUAGCGGUGAAAUGCGUAGAGAUCUGGAGGAAUACCGAUGGCGAAGGCAGCCAUCUGGCCUAAUACUGACGCUGAGGUACGAAAGCAUGGGGAGCAAACAGGAUUAGAUACCCCCGUAGUCCCUGUCUCUUAUACC
rnacentral:rRNA from 1 species